rnacentral:rRNA from 1 species
GACGAACGCUGGCGGCGUGCUUAAAACAUGCAAGUCGAACGGACCCUUCGGGGUCAGUGGCAAACGGCUGAGUAACACGUAGGUAACUUACCCUUGAGUGGGGGAUAACUACUCGAAAGAGUAGCUAAUACCGCGUACGCUUCUCUGUCUCUGGACGGAUAAGGAGAGCAGUAAUGCGCUCGAGGAGAGGCCUGCGGUCGAUUAGCUAGUUGGUGAGGUAACGGCCCACCAAGGCUACGAUCGAUAGCUGGUCUGAGAGGACGAUCAGCCAGACUGGGACUGCGACACGGGCCCAGACUCCUACGGGAGGCAGCAGUUAGGAAUUUUGGGCAAUGGGCGAAAGCCUGACCCAGCAACGCCGCGUGAGCGAUGAA